AACGAACGCUGGCGGCAGGCUUAAUACAUGCAAGUCGAACGCCCCCUUCGGGGGGAGUGGCAGACGGGUGAGUAACGCGUGGGAACGUGCCCAAAGGUAGGGAACAACUCCGGGAAACUGGAGCUAAUACCCUAUGUGCCCGAGAGGGGAAAGAUUUAUCGCCUUUGGAUCGGCCCGCGUCAGAUUAGCUAGUUGGUGGGGUAAAAGCCUACCAAGGCGACGAUCUGUAGCUGUUCUGAGAGGAAGAUCAGCCACACUGGGACUGAGACACGGCCCAGACUCCUACGGGAGGCAGCAGUAGGGAAUCUUGGACAAUGGGCGCAAGCCUGAUCCAGCCAUGCCGCGUGAGUGACGAAGGCCUUAGGGUUGUAAAACUCUUUCGCACGUGACGGUAAUGACGGUAACGUGAGAAGAAGCUCCGGCUAACUUCGUGCCAGCCGCCGCCGUAAUAC
rnacentral:rRNA from 1 species